rnacentral:rRNA from 1 species
CGGGUGAGUAACACGUGAAUAACCUACCGAAUAGCCGGGGAUAACAUUUGGAAACAGAUGCUAAUACCGUAUAAAACGUGCUGUCGCAUGACAAAACGUUAAAAGGUCCGUUUGGUACCACUUUUUGAUGGAUUCGCGGUGCAUUAGUUAGUUGGUGGGGUAAAGGCUCACCAAGACGAUGAUGCAUAGCCGAGUUGAGAGACUGACCGGCCACAUUGGGACUGAGACACGGCCCAAACUCCUACGGGAGGCUGCAGUAGGGAAUCUUCCACAAUGGGCGCAAGCCUGAUGGAGCAACGCCGCGUGUGUGAUGAAGGCUUUCGGGUCGUAAAGCACUGUUGUAUGGGAAGAACGGUAAGGGUAGUAAAUGAUCUUUACAUGACGGUACCAUACCAGAAAGGCACGGCUAAAUACGUGCCAGCAGCCGCGGUAAUACGUAUGUCCCGAGCGUUAUCCGGAUUUAUUGGGCGUAAAGCGAGCGCAGACGGUUCGAUAAGUCUGAAGUGAAAGCCCACAGCUCAACUGUGGAAGUGCUUUGGAAACUGUCGAACUUGAGUGCAGUAGAGGUAAGUGGAACUCCAUGUGUAGCGGUGGAAUGCGUAGAUAUAUGGAAGAACACCAGUGGCGAAGGCGGCUUACUGGACUGCAACUGACGUUGAGGCUCGAA